UAUGCAGAACAAUAUAUAUUUUUUUUCUUUCAGAGACCUAAAAUUUUCUAAUACUUCUUAUUUUGUAAUGAGAGUCUGGCAACUCUGAAAAUAAGCAAAACAUAACCCACGGCACCACUGGUUAAUAUUUAAAGAAAGUCUGAGGGGUGAUUUGAGUGACCGUCCUCCUUUUGCAUGGAAUUACCUAGUAAUGUGGUUAAAUGACAUUAAAUUCAUAUCAAAUGACUCUAAACAUCUUUUGGGGAUAUAAUUGCUCGACAGAAAUAUACUUUUAUUCGAUAAUGACUAAUUAAAAUUAUCACUUAUAAGUUUUGCCCCGUAUAAAGCAUGAAGAAGUAUUUGUAAAUGAACAAAAGCAAUUUUUUUAAUUGUUUUAAAAAGGUUCAUGACCUUCCGUACUUUCCCAGAUAUUAAAGUAAAACACAAAUUAUUGAUUUAAA
rnacentral:lncRNA from 1 species